rnacentral:rRNA from 1 species
CUACGGGCCGCUGCAGUAGGGAAUAUUGGACAAUGGGCGAAAGCCUGAUCCAGCAACGCCGCGUGUGCGAUGACGGCCUUCGGGUUGUAAAGCACUUUUAGAGGAGAUGAGAAAGGACAGUAUCCUCAGAAUAAGCCUCGGCGAACUACGUGCCAGCAGCCGCGGUAAAACGUAGGAGGCAAGCGUUAUCCGGAUUUAUUGGGCGUAAAGCGCGUGCAGGCGGUCUAGCAAGUUGGAUGUGAAAGCUACCGGCUUAACCGGGAGAGGUCGUUCAAUACUGUUAGACUAGAGAAUGGGAGAGGGAGGUGGAAUUCUGGGUGUAGUGGUGAAAUGCGUAGAUAUCCAGAGGAACACCAGUGGCGAAAGCGGCCUCCUGGACCAUUUCUGACGCUAAGACGCGAAAGCUAGGGUAGCAAACGGGAUUAGAUACCCGUGUAGUC